rnacentral:ribozyme from 1 species
CACUGGGGAUAGGGUGAGGAGGUCCCAGAGAUAAGGCCGCUAUGGUAAUGGCAUUGGCGAGGGUUGCGGAUGAGUGACAGCUUGGGAGCAAGGAUUGGGGCAUGGAAAAUGACUGG